AUACGUAGGGGACAAGCGUUGUCCGGAAUGACUGGGCGUAAAGGGCGCAUAGGCGGUCUAUUAAGUCUGAUGUGAAAGGUACCGGCUCAACCGGUGAAGUGCAUUGGAAACUGGUAGACUUGAGUAUUGGAGAGGCAAGUGGAAUUCCUAGUGUGGCGGUGAAAUGCGUAGAUAUUAGGAGGAACACCAGUGGCGAAGGCGGCUUGCUGGACAAAUACUGACGCUGAGGUGCGAAAGCGUGGGGAGCGAACAGGAUUAGAUACCCUGGUAGUCCACGCCGUAACCGAUGAAUGCUAGGUGUUGGGGAAACUCAGUGCCGCAGUUAACACAAUAAGUAUUCCACCUGGGGAGUACGUACGCAAGUAUGAAACUUAAAGGAAUUGACGGGG
rnacentral:rRNA from 1 species